AGCUCAGAGAGGCGGAGAAACGGAAGUCGGAAAACAGCUUUAAACCAAGUUUGAACCGUUUCCUCUGUUUGUCAGUGCUGUGAGAAAACGUCGUUACCGGAGAGUCUGGAUGUUUAAACAAACUCUGGAGCUGCUUUUUGUCGAACAGCGGUGAGACCGGACACUGAACACACCUGCGGCGCGAAGGUUUUGUACUUGUGUUUUGCAGGUUUACUGAUUCAGCUCCUGCAGCCUGAACACAAACACCAGCUCUCACCUGACAAACCAAACAGGUGUCGCCACUUUGUCCACGACAUCGUCCACGAUCCCCAAGAUGUCCUACACAGCACAUGGUCGGAGAGAGACAUUGUUGAUGAUGAGGGAGACGUCAUCCACGAUCAGAGAUGUUGUCCAUGACUCACAGACACGUGCAAGAGUCGGUAGUGAUGGAGUUCCCUGAUUCAACGGCAUCAAUCGGGAUCAGAGACAUUUUUGAUAAUCGCAGAGACAUUCUCCACAAUUACAGAGAUGUAGCCCGUGAUCACAGAGAAGUUCUUUGAAACCAGGACAGAGGCCUGCAAAUAACCUGCAAUAUAAAUAUAAUGGAGAAGUAAGUUGUAUUAGUAGAAGUAAUAUAAAUGCAACUGACGAUAUCAGAAACAAGAUGUAAUAGUGAAAGUAAUCUCUUACUAGAUGUAGUUUCCAACAGCAAAGGUUGUCUGUAAAUUUAGAAGUAAUGGGUAAUAAGAAAAGUAAAAAAUAAUGAUAAAUAAUAUUAAGGGUAACAGUAAAAGUUAACUGUAAUAUAAAAGCAAUGCAGAAGUACUUGUAAUCCAAAAGAGAAGUAAAAAUGUCAUAUUAAAUCAAAAAUGUCAUAGUAUAGUAAGGCAUCACAAACCAUCAAAAAAUGUCAUAGUAUUGUAAAGCGUCACAAAGUGUCAGGGUAUAUUAAAGCAUCAGAAACUGUCAAAAAAUGUCAUACCAUAAUAAAGCAUCAAAAAAAUCAUAUAUAAAAUCAGUAUAGUAAGGUAUGAAAAUUGGUCAUAAAAAAUGAAAAUGUCAUAGUAUGACGUCAAAAAUGGUCAAAAAAUGUAGUAAGGUGUCAAAAACCAUCAAAAAAUGUCACAGUAAGGCAUCAAAAACCAAAAAAUACCAUAGUAUAGUAAGGCGUUAAAAAAAAAUGUGCAAAAAUGGUCAAAAAAUGUCAUAGUAUGGUAAGAUAUCUAAAAUUGUCAAAAAAUGCCGACACUAUGACAUUUUUUCACAUUUUUUGACACCUUACUAUACUAUGACAUUUUUCAGCAUGUUUUUAUGCCAUACUAUACUAAGACAUUUUAUUUUACUAUCUUAAAGCAGCCAUCUUACCUUUGUUUUCCACACAUACACAUUCAUGCACUCACACCUCUACAGUGUUAGUGGGUUAGGUCAGAUUUUGUGUUCGUCAUUUCAUUGGUAUGUUAAAAUUUCAAACACUGCAAUGUCAGUACCCAAGUCCAGUCCAGUUUUACAAAUUGAUAAUAUCUUAUUCUAUAUCUUGUCUUGUUUGUAUCGUGCCUUUUUUAUUUUCGCUGUUGCAACACUGAAUUUUCCUGUUGUGGGACUAAUGAAAAUCUUACUCCUACUCAAAUAAAUACUUCUAAGCACUGAA